rnacentral:rRNA from 1 species
AACGAACGCUGGCGGCAGGCUUAACACAUGCAAGUCGAACGCCCUAGCAAUAGGGAGUGGCGCACGGGUGAGUAACGCGUGGGAAUGUACCGUUUAGUGGGGGAUAACCAAGGGAAACUUUGGCUAAUACCGCAUACGCCCUUCGGGGGAAAGAUUCAUCGCUAAACGAUCAGCCCGCGUGAGAUUAGGUAGUUGGUGGGGUAACGGCCUACCAAGCCGACGAUCUCUAGCUGGUCUGAGAGGAUGAUCAGCCACACUGGAACUGAGACACGGUCCAGACUCCUACGGGAGGCAGCAGUGGGGAAUAUUGGACAAUGGGGGCAACCCUGGUCCAGCCAUGCCGCGUGAGUGAUGAAGGCCUUAGGGUUGUAAAGCUCUUUUACCGAUGAAGAUAAUGACGGUAGUCGGAGAAAAAGCCCCGGCUAACUUCGUGCCAGCAGCCGCCGUAA